UUCCGACAAAGGCAAACCAGCCGCGAGGCUGGGACGCAAAGCCGCGGGUCAGGCGGGGCGCCUGACGGCCGGGCUCCCGAA
rfam:Candidatus Rokubacteria bacterium RIFCSPHIGHO2_02_FTLL_73_26 rifcsphigho2_02_scaffold_28743, whole genome shotgun sequence.